CCCUUAGAUGUUCUGGGCCGCACGCGCGCUACACUGACGAUGUCAAAGAGUGUCUCCUUCACCGAGAGGUGUGGGUAAUCUUACAAACAUCGUCGUGCUGGGGAUAGAUCAUUGCAAUUUUUGAUCUUGAACGAGGAAUUCCUAGUAAGCGCGAGUCAUCAGCUCGCGUUGAUUACGUCCCUGCCCUUUGUACACACCGCCCGUCGCUACUACCGAUUGAAUGGUUUAGUGAGGCUUCCUGACUGGCGCCGAUACUCUGGCAACAGAGCGUGGGAUGCCGGAAAGUUGGUCAAACUUGAUCAUUUAGAGGAAGUAAAAGUCGUAACA
rnacentral:rRNA from 1 species